CUUUACGGCCACACCGCCCUGGACACGCCUAAUCUCGUGUGAUCUUGGAAGCUAUGGAGGGCCUGGCCUGGUCAGUACUUGGAUGGGAGACCGCCUGGGAAUACCAGGUGCUAGAAACU
rnacentral:rRNA from 1 species